rnacentral:misc_RNA from 2 species
AACGCACAUUGCGCUCUUUGGUAUUCCGAAGAGCAUGCCUGUUUGAGUGUCAUAUAGACUCAUCCACUCGGGUUUCCGAGUUGGGUGCUUUGGACGUCUGCCAUGCUUUGGCUCGUCUUAAAUGUCUAAGUGGAAUGCGUAAUAAGUUUUCGCUCCCUCCACUCUAAUACACUUUUAUCUCUGACCUCAAAUCAGGUAGGACUACCCGCUGAACUUAA